rnacentral:rRNA from 1 species
GGAUGCGAUCAUACCAGCACUAAAGCACCGGAUCCCAUCAGAACUCCGAAGUUAAGCGUGCUUGGGCGAGAGUAGUACUAGGAUGGGUGACCUCCUGGAAGUCCUCGUGUUGCAUUCC